rnacentral:rRNA from 1 species
UCCGACCUGAACUCAGACGUGGUUACCCGCUGA